GACGAACGCUGGCGGCGUGCCUAAUACAUGCAAGUCGAGCGAAGUUUUUCUGGUGCUUGCACUAGAAAAACUUAGCGGCGCACGGGUGAGUAACACGUAAAGAACCUGCCUCAUAGACUGGGACAACUAUUGGAAACGAUAGCUAAUACCGGAUAACAGUAUUUCUCGCAUGAGAGAUAUUUAAAAGUUGGUUAUGCUAACACUAUGAGAUGGCUUUGCGGUGCAUUAGCUAGUUGGUGGGGUAAAGGCCCACCAAGGCGACGAUGCAUAGCCGACCUGAGAGGGUGACCGGCCACACUGGGACUGAGACACGGCCCAGACUCCUACGGGAGGCAGCAGUAGGGAAUCUUCCGCAAUGGGCGAAAGCCUGACGGAGCAACGCCGCGUGAGUGAAGAAGGAUUUCGGUUCGUAAAGCUCUGUUGUUAGGGAAGAAUGGAUAUGUAGUAACUAUACAUGUAAGAGACGGUACCUAACCAGAAAGCCACGGCUAACUACGUG
rnacentral:rRNA from 1 species